CUAAACUUAGCUAACGGUUAACGUUAGCUGUCUCUUACCUGGAGACUCAAUCAGGUGGCUAAGAUUAACAAAAGAUUUUGGGAAACGAC